UACAGAGGUGGCAAGCGUUGUUCGGAAUUACUGGGCGUAAAGGGCGCGUAGGCGGUUUAAUAAGUCAGUGGUGAAAGCCCAUCGCUCAACGGUGGAACGGCCAUUGAUACUGUUAAACUUGAAUUAUUAGGAAGUAACUAGAAUAUGUAGUGUAGCGGUGAAAUGCUUAGAGAUUACAUGGAAUACCAAUUGCGAAGGCAGGUUACUACUAAUGGAUUGACGCUGAUGGACGAAAGCGUGGGUAGCGAACAGG
rnacentral:rRNA from 1 species